rnacentral:tRNA from 1 species
GGAGCGAUGGCCGAGUUGGUCGAAGGCGCUUGACUCGAAAUCAAGUGUGCCGCAAGGCACCGGGGGUUCGAAUCCCUCUCGCUCCG